rnacentral:lncRNA from 1 species
CUCCUUAAGGGGUCAACUGACCAUUUUAGUCAUAAUAACUUAUUUGUAGAUCUUACUAUGCUGAACAUUAUUGCUGUUUACAGUUUAUCUCUAUCUAUAAUAAUAUUCCAGAAGUAGAUAUUUAAAACACGUACGUAGUAUAGGGAACAAGAGCGCAAUUAUUUGUUAUGCAUUUUCCAUAGGACCCCAGUGGUAUUCAAAAAUUUAUUUCUUGAAGAAUAAACAAACUAUAAAAAAUGGGCAGCAGAUGGACUAUAGAUGUC